UAUCUUAGGUAAAGAAGAGAGAAAAUGAAAAUACCUUGGGGGACUGCGGAGUUCAAUACCAGAAAAAGAACUAUUGUUUUCCACUGUUACCAUCAUCAUUAUUUCUAAAGAAGCUCCACUAGAGCCGGGAUUUCUACCAGAAAGAUUGCUCUGGCUGCGGUGUCUCCACACUGUUGGGGAUCAAAACAAGAGGAAGACCAGUUAGGAGUCUAUCGCAGGAAUCCAGGGAACCACGAAAGUGAAGCUGUGAAAACCCUGAAUGCUGAAGAGUGUGGAGAAUCCCAGACGAUGAAGAACCAGAGAAUCUCGAAGCUCUGUCUACCUACACCUCUGACUCAUGUAUGUGCAGAACAGACUCAGAUUAAAAACACAACGUUGAGGUGAGCCUGGAACUGUUGCCCAAGGAACAGGGUUUGAAGUUCAGGUCUAGCUAGACUAAUUAGCUGUUGAAGGAAACAACACUCACUGGAGAAAACUGGCAGAAUUCUGAAUCUUCACCAAUUAACAUUAGUAACGUUGAAGAUAUGAUCGAAAAGUACUCAACAUACCAAGUACCAAGAAUAUGGAAGACGUUCCCCAAAGAAAGUAAAAUCUACUGAGUCCCACUCCAAGAUGAACCGGAUGCUGGAAUUAACAGACUAGGAUUUUAAAGUGAUUAAAAUAUUUAUUCUCUACAAAGUAAAGUAUAACAUGUUUUCAGUGAAUAAAAUUUCAGCAGAGAAAUAGACACAAUAAGAAAAUAAUCAAUGGAAAUUCUAGAACUUAAUAUAAUUUCUAAAAUAAAAAUAUUAACUGGAUGCGCUUAUGGCUGAGUUAAUAUGACAGGAAAGUAAGCGAUGUUGAAGAUCGAUCAAUAGAAAUUAUCCAAGGUGAGGAACAGAGAGAAAAAAGAUUGAAAACGAUGAACACAAUCUUAGUGAGCUGUGAGACAAUAUCAAAGCGUCCAACGUAACAAAAACGGGAAACUAAAAAGAGAAAAGAGAUUGGAGCAAAAAUAUUUUAAGACAUACCAACAAUUUUCCCAAGUUUUAUGAAAGAAAUUUUAUCGAUAGAAGAUGUUUAACAAACACUAAGCUGAAUGAGGACAAAUAUGCCUAUAUUGAGGCAUAUUAGAGUCAAACUGUUGAAAGCCAAAGAUAAAGAGCAAAUCUUGAAAGAAGAGAAAAUGACACGUUACAUACAG
rnacentral:lncRNA from 1 species